rnacentral:rRNA from 1 species
UACGUAGGGGGCUAGCGUUGUCCGGAAUCAUUGGGCGUAAAGAGCGUGUAGGCGGCCCGGUAAGUCCGCUGUAAAAGUCCAAGGCUCAACCUUUGAAUGUCAGUGGAUACUGCCGGGCUAGAGUCCGGAAGAGGCGAGUGGAACUCCUGGUGUAGCGGUGGAAUGCGCAGAUAUCAGGAAGAACACCAGCGGCGAAGGCAGCUCGCUGGGACGGUACUGACGCUGAGACGCGAAAGCGUGGGGAGCGAACAGG